AGUAUAUAAUCCAAACGAUGCGAACCCCAAAUUGCCCGGGUACCGCCAUCAUUUUUUACUGUCAUAGCUGCGAACUUCAUCCCCAUUUUUUUACUUCGCUAUUCAACCACAGUCCUAUAGGCGCCAACAGAGUCCUGUUCUUCUAGUUUCGAAGUGUUUGGAGCCUGAACAUGGAGACGAGUCCAGCCGGCGAAGAACCCACCUCGUGGGACGAACGGUACAACAUCAAUUUGAUGCCCUCCGAGUUGUUCCUCAAGUUUCGGAAAGAAAUUCAGAAAAACCGAGUCGGUGUUAAUCUGGAGUUUUACAAUGCUCCAAGGAAUGAUUUUCAAGCGAAGCUUGUGUUCAAGCCUCUCUCCCCAGACCGUCUGUGGAAGUUUGUCUAUGAACCCAUACAUCAAGACGUGCGCAUUCUCUCGAAAAAGAUUCCUGUCACAAAAUUCUUAAAUCUCCAGGUUGGCGUAGGCCACAAUUUUCAGUUAAAUGCAAUUAGUUGGAAAUGGAAGCUCACCACAUGUUUGGGUGAAGACGGUGUAUCUCGAAUUAGAAAUAAGACCACUCUUUGGACUUUGUCCAGGUGUAGAUUUUCGGUUUGGGUGGAGGGCUGAUUACGUUCUUCCAGAAAUCACAGGGGGUCUUGGUACUGAUGAGCCACUAUUCAACAUGAACUCUGGGCAGUUGCAAGCAUCGCUAGAUAGAGUGGUAGCCAUUUUAAGCUAUCCAGAUACUGUUUAGAGGAUAUUGGUGAAGAGAUGUUAUGUUAAUUGGUUGGCUCCUUUGAACUGCGUUGAGAUGACAACUACUGGCAUCUAAUGUGCACAGGAUGAUGCUUUGACAAGAAAAUUUUGAACAUGGCUGAGCAAAAAAUCGUUUUGCUUUUGAGUGUUCAUGUUGGCCUCAGAAGUUGCUUGUUUAUCAUUGUUUCCCGGCACAUGUUCAUAUUUAAUUGCAGCAUCAAUUGUUUGCCUGAAUUUCAUAUUCAGCUGGAGAAGCGGGAAUAUGGGAAGGGAUGAUGAGGUUCAGUGGUGCAGUGAAGAAUGAGCAUUGAAGCCUUUAAAUAUCAUCAAUUUUGUCGGACAAUGUUGUUGUACGUAAGGGAAGUAGUGGAGUGGUAAAAUACGUGCAAUCUGUUUCAUCAGUUGUUUUAACUCUUCAUUUUUCACUUCCAUUCCCUUUCUUUACAUUUACUGAAAUUUCGGUCAUCUAUGAGAUAUUUAUAGAAACGAAGGUCCCGUCAUCAUCAAUGGGAUUAAUUUUGUGUCAAGGCAGAUGAUUUGGAAUGAUGAUAAGGCAUUUCUCGUGA